rnacentral:rRNA from 1 species
UACAGAGGCCUCGAGGGUUAGGCGGAAUCACUGGGCUUAAAGCGUGUGUAGGCGGAUGCGUAAGUGCCUUGUGAAAUCCCACGGCUUAACCGUGGAACUGCUUGGCAUACUGGGUGUCUUGAGCAGCCUAGGGGCGAGCGGAACAGAUGGUGGAGCGGUGAAAUGCGUGGAUAUCAUCUGGAACGCCAAUGGUGAAGACAGCUCGCUGGGGGCUCGCUGACGCUGAGACACGCAAGCCAGGGGAGCGAACGGG